rnacentral:rRNA from 1 species
GUGCCAGCAGCCGCGGUAAUACGUAGGUGGCAAGCGUUGUCCGGAUUUACUGGGCGUAAAGAGCACGCAGGCGGUCGUUCAAGUCGAGUGUGAAAGCCCCCGGCUCAACUGGGGAGGGUCACUCGAUACUGAUCGACUUGAAGGCGGGAGAGGGAAGCGGAAUUCCCGGUGUAGUGGUGAAAUGCGUAGAUAUCGGGAGGAACACCAGUGGCGAAGGCGGCUUCCUGGCCCGUUCUUGACGCUCAUGUGCGAAAGCUAGGGGAGCAAACGGGAUUAGAAACCCUAGUAGUCC